rnacentral:rRNA from 1 species
UACGGAGGGUGCGAGCGUUGUCCGGAAUCAUUGGGCGUAAAGGGCGCGUAGGUGGCGGGACAAGCGUGCGGUGAAAGCCUGGGGCUCAACCCCGGGUCGGCCGUGCGAACUGUUUUGCUUGAGCACUGUAGAGGCAGGCGGAAUUCCGGGUGUAGCGGUGGAAUGCGUAGAGAUCCGGAAGAACACCGGUGGCGAAGGCGGCCUGCUGGGCAUUACCUGACGCUGGAGGAGCGAAAGUGGUGGGGAGCGAACAGG